rnacentral:rRNA from 1 species
CCUACGGGAGGCAGCAGUGGGGAAUAUUGCGCAAUGGGCGAAAGCCUGACGCAGCGACGCCGCGUGCGGGAUGAAGGUCCUCGGAUCUGUAACCUCCGUCAGUAGGGAAGUACGGUCACUUUCCUAAUCAGCAGUGAAUGUACGGUACCAGCAAGGGUAGGACCGGCUAACGCCGUGCCAGCAGCUGCGGCAAUACGGAGGGUGGGAGCGUUAAUCGGAAUUACUGGGCGUAAAGCGCUCGUAGGUGGUAUGUCAAGUCAAGGGUGAAAUCCCCGCGCUCAACGUGGGCACUGCCUUUGAGACUGGCAAACUGGAGUGUGUGAGAGGAUAGUGGAAUUCCAGGUGUAGGAGUGAAAUCCGUAGAUAU